GUGAAUUUUAUUGUAUGUGAAUUAUUGCCCCCCUCUCUAAAAAAAAAAAAAAAUCUGUUCCACAUUUACUUGCUUUCUUACCUUCAGAAAUAAGAGAGGCUGGCAUAAUUUUUUCCCUCCAUAUGAAGUAAUCCUCUAGCCUAUAUAUUACAUUUUAUUUGCUUUUUUCUGAAAACAGGAAAUUGGACAUUGCUGAAGAUUGUAAGAAACACACUAACAAGAUCACCUGGACCAGGGCUCCUAGUUCAGUCUGUCCCUGCAGGGACAACAAAUAGGCUUCCUUGGGCUGUGGUGUGGAGAGACCUUGGAGCAAAGUGUGGACACUGGGUUUACCUAGUGUCUAAGCGAUACAAAUAUUACCACCUGCAGAGGAAGGGCCCAGGCAGAGUGCAAGAGUCCCCAUAGCAACAAGGCUAUCCCGGCAGUAAAUCCUCUGUAGGGCAAGGCUGUAACCAAGUGAAGCAGGAGAAGGUAUAGUUGACUUCACAGCUGGACUAGCAUAUGCUUCACCAACUCCUGUGCCACUGGGGUACGUCAGAGCUCGCCCAGAGAGCAGGGAGCCCUCCGUGGCACCAGAUCAAGUCCUCCACUAGCAAUCUAAUUCUGUCAGUAGGACAGCGGUCCUCAGACUUCAGCCGUGCAUCAGAAUCUCCCGGAAGGCACAUUGAAAUGUGGAUUGCUGGGCCCCAAACCCAAAAUUUCUGCUUUGGUGUGCCUGGGGUGGGAGCCAAGGAUCUGGGUUUCUAACAAGUUCCCAGGUAAGACUGAUGCUGCUGGUUGGGGGACCACACUUUGGGCACGGUGCUGAAGCUCUUUGCCCCUUACAACAUUUGGUAAUUAGUGGGGAAUUCUGCCCACUCAGUAACAUCUUAGUCCAGUCCCUAGCCACCAGUUGAACUCUCGCUGUGAGGAGAGCAGGGUCAGGCCAGGCAUGGAAGAUUCAAGGGCGGGAACGCCUCUCCCAGGCAGGCUGCCCUGAUUGCCUGCUUAGUCACUCUGGUCGGGUGACUUACCCUGAGGAGUGGUGGAUUUAUCGGGCAUGUGCGUAAAUGCAUCUGCAUUUGUGAACAUCAUUUCUCUGCAGAGAUGACACUGCUGACCACCCGUAUCAGGACCGAUGACAGUGGUUCUGCCAUUGUGACAAUCAAAUCAAACAUUAAUCCAGCUUCACAGCUGACAUGGCGGGCCAGGAGCAAGCAGACAGGCCAGCACCUGACUCCAGGAUCUGUCAGUUAGGAGCUGGGUGCCCUGGGCAAGUUUCCUAACUUCUCAGAACCUUGCUUUGCAAAGGGGGAUUCAUCUCAGGGGUAGGCCUGUGGGCUGGGUUAAUACUUACAAAUGUUUUCACUGAGAUAUUACAUUCCUGCUUCACUUCCUCACUGAUCUUCCUUCCGGUUUUAAGGCAGGAGCAUCCCUUGCCUCAGGGUGAGGGAUCAGGUGUGAGCCCUGUCCCACUCCUAGGGCAGUUGGGUUAGAUGGGCAGCGUGGGCAGCAUCUGGGGGGGGGCGCCCCAGGCCGACCGACUCUGAAUCUCAGGAUUCUGUGUUUUAACACAUAAACUCUUCAGGUUAUUAUAUGUGGCUAAAGUUUGAAACGCUCUGGUCUAGAACAAGGAAGUUUCAGCAUAGAAGCUUCAAAAUCCACAGCUGAGACCAUAGCCCGAAAGCCAGGGUGUGUAUGUAUGCAGCAUAAGGUAAGAGAGAAAGAGUGUUCCUUGGGAGGGACAAAGCUCAGGCUGCAGGAGAGCUCAUGUUCUAAGCCAUGGAGUCGGGAAGAACAGUAGCCAUCUGUACAUCCAAAGGGAGAAGCAAUUUGAUGAGCAGGAAAGAGAGAGAAUGAGAGGGGGUGAGCUUAGAUCUUAGGGGGCCUGUUGUGUUUUCAGUCCCCUUCUCAAAGACCCCAGGAGGCCUGGCUUGCAAAGGCUUACUAGACCACUCAGACCCUCUCUGGAGCUUAAAGGAAGAGAUAGACAGGAGUUACAGUUAGAGGCACACAACCUGGGGAGAAGGGUCAGGGCUGAGAAACUGUAAUAGGGCCACUUGCACCCCAAGUUACUGAGGGAGUAGAGAUGGAGGAAAGCCAGUCGAGAGAGAGAGAGAGAGAGAGAGAGAGAGAGAGAGAGCUGAGGAGAAAGACAGAAGCCUAGUGGACAGAGCACCUGUCCAGGGCAAGUAGGAUUAUUAGCAUGAGCUACGAGCCCUGAAAAGGCAUGAGGGCAGUUCAGGGGCAAAGCAUCAGAGGGAACAGAGUCCUCAUCCAUCUCCUGGUUGUUGACACACUAUUUGGUUUCUGAGUCUCAUCUGGCUGGUCCGAGGGUCACUCCUCCAGGCCUGCCCUUAAUCUCACCCUGUGCUGACCCUGGAGAAGGUUCUGUCUGGGGUCAUCCCCUGUGGACCUUUGGCUCUAGAGGAGCUGGCACUAAGGAGGAUGUCCCCCCAGGGUCCUGUGGCUGGGGAAGGGGCCUGGGAGGUGUCUGACCUGUGCUGCCCUGCACUGUUGGGCAAUCCGGGUGUGGCCUCAAGGUUCCUGGAAAGUUGGCUCACUUCCUUCUUUGCUGACCGAAAAAAACCUCAGACGCCCAUGGUGAGAUCAGUUUCAGUUUAAUCUGCUUUGCAUAAAAAAACAAAAGUCCUCUUUCCUCUUGACCAGAAAACUUAGCCCCAGAAGCUUGAGGUGGCAUGAGGAAGGACGGGGCAGUCAGAAGCCUCGGGUUUUCCUCUUGUCCUUCAGGGUCCUGGGGGGCGGAAAUCACCCAAGCAGCCAACGUGUGCCCGGCAUCUUGCUAAGCAAACUCUGGAGCACAGUCCAUAAUGGUGGUUUGGUGGGUCGAUGUGCAGACCUCUUCCUCAAAGAAGCCUUCUCUGACCCCCACACAGACCCUCUCCCCUGGACUCCCGCUGUCCUGGGGCUCUUGCCUUAGAAACAUUAUGUAGUGUCAUUUGAUGUGCCUUGGUGAAAGUAAUUCAUUUCUUCCCCCACAAAAGUGGAGCUCCACGAGGAGCUAUUUUUUUUUUUUUUUUUUUUUUGCAUCACUAGCCGCUGGAUCACUAGCCGCUGGCAUGUGCCUGGCACAUAGAAGGCACUCAUCUAUGUGUUGAAUAAAUGCAUACCUCAAACACCGAAGAUUCCGUAUGCCAGGGAUCCGUCAUGGCAUGAGUCUUUGCAAAAUGAUUCGUCACUGGGCUUCAUCAUCCAGAAAACUUUUAAGGACCGUGUGUCACAUGCCAGAUCUUGGCUCCUUCACACGGAAAGCUGGGCGGCGCCCCGGAGAGCCCACGCCCCCUUGCAUGGAAACCAUGGAAUUUCCCCAGCACGUUGUCUUUGGCAACUCCAAUGCCACAGGAAGGUCAGGACUGGUGAGACACGGAGAGAAUGUAAGGGAGGAAGUGCCGGUCCUGCCUACGCUGCCGGGGGCCCCUCCCAGGAGGACAGGACAGCUCGUGUCUCCACAAACAGGACCCUGACACGAGCGGGAGUGUCUCGGCGGCAGGUGGGUCUCCCCUUACACAUUUGACACUGGCCUCCCUCAUUUCAGCAGAGGUGGGGGGACUCAGCCCUGACUGCACAUUAGAACCCCCAUGCCCAGGCUGCACCCCACCUCAGUUACAUCAGCAUCUCUGGGUUGGACCAGGGUGGGCACCAGUCUUUUUAAAGCCCCUUCCCCCCCCCCCCCCAACCGGUGUUUGCAGAAUGCAGACAAUGCUGAGGGCCACGACUGAGAAAAUAAAACACUUGUAACAGACCUUUCUGUUUGAGCAUGUGAUGUCUGGGGGAACCACAGCCUGGGUUCAAAUCCUGCCCUCAUGACUUACAAGCAAGUCUCUCCACUUGUGAAAGCCUCAGUCUCCUCGUCUGUGAAGUGAGACUAAUAACAAAAGUGCCUACAUCCCAGGGCUGACGUCGGAUUACAUGCAAUAAACUGCUUACACCCGCACUGGUCUGUCAGUCCAGACAUUUCCCUACAGCUAGUACUCUUCUCUCCCCGUCUGUACCUCCAAAUUGUCCAUUCCUGUGUCUACUCCAGCUUCUGAGUUUCUAGUACUUUGUAUAGUGCUUUGCACAUAACCGUCCCUAAUAAAUAAAUUGGAAGGGGA